CUUGUUUGAAAGGUUUUUGCAACUGUGAAAUAAAAAGUAGAGAUGGAAAUAUUAAAGUCACAACAGAAGAACAAUUAGAUUACUCAGAUCAUACGGUGGAAGAUAAAAAUUUUAAAAUGGGAAUAGAUAUGGGAAAUGAAAACCUUACUCUCAACAUAAUACAAGAUAAAAAGCCUAAAGUUAUGGAAACUACAGAGCCAAAGGGCAUGAAACAAAUAAUAGUCCAGCUAAAUAAAAAUGAAAGAGAUGUUCACAUAUAUUAUACAGA